rnacentral:tRNA from 1 species
GCGGACGUGGCGAAACUGGUAGACGCAAGGGACUUAAAAUCCCUCGGAGAAAUCCUUACGGGUUCGAGCCCCGUCGUCCGCACCA